rnacentral:rRNA from 1 species
CCUUCGGGGUACUCGAGCGGCGAACGGGUGAGUAACACGUGAGUAAUCUGCCCCUAGCUCUGGGAUAGCUCCGGGAAACCGGGAUUAAUACCGGAUAUGACCACUACGGACAUCUGUUUUGGUGGAAAGAAUUUCGGCUAGGGAUGAGCUCGCGGCCUAUCAGCUUGUUGGUGGGGUAACGGCCUACCAAGGCGACGACGGGUAGCCGGCCUGAGAGGGCGACCGGCCACACUGGGACUGAGACACGGCCCAGACUCCUACGGGAGGCAGCAGUGGGGAAUAUUGCGCAAUGGGCGAAAGCCUGACGCAGCGACGCCGCGUGGGGGAUGAAGGCCUUCGGGUUGUAAACCCCUUUCAGCAGGGACGAAGCGAAAGUGACGGUACCUGCAGAAGAAGCGCCGGCUAACUACGUGCCAGCAGCCGCGGUAACACGUAGGGCGCAAGCGUUGUCCGGAAUUAUUGGGCGUAAAGAGCUCGUAGGCGGUCUGUUGCGUCCGCUGUGAAAACUCGGGGCUUAACCCCGAGCCUGCAGUGGAUACGGGCAGACUAGAGGUAGGUAGGGGAGAAUGGAAUUCCCGGUGUAGCGGUGAAAUGCGCAGAUAUCGGGAGGAACACCGGUGGCGAAGGCGGUUCUCUGGGCCUUACCUGACGCUGAGGAGCGAAAGCGUGGGGAGCGAACAGGAUUAGAUACCCUGGUAGUCCACGCCGUAAACGUUGGGCGCUAGGUGUGGGAUCCUUCCACGGAUUCCGUGUCGCAGCUAACGCAUUAAGCGCCCCGCCUGGGG